rnacentral:rRNA from 1 species
CCCCGUGGAGCUUUACUGCAACCUGAUAUGGAAUGUUUGUACCGCUUGUACAGGAUAGGUAGGAGCCGAAGAGACGUGUGCGCUAGCAUACGAGGAGGCAAUGGUGGGAUACUCCCCUGGCUGUAUGACCAUUCUAACCCGCCACGCUUAGCGCGUGGGGAGACAGUGUCAGGUGGGCAGUUUGACUGGGGCGGUCGCCUCCUAAAGAGUAACGGAGGCGCCCAAAGGUUCCCUCAGAAUG